rnacentral:rRNA from 1 species
AGAAAGAUUAAUACCCGAUAGUAUAAUGAUUCCGCAUGGUUUCAUUAUUAAAGGAUUCCGGUAAAGGAUGGGGAUGCGUUCCAUUAGGUUGUUGGUGAGGUAACGGCUCACCAAGCCUUCGAUGGAUAGGGGUUCUGAGAGGAGGGUCCCCCACAUUGGAACUGAGACACGGUCCAAACUCCUACGGGAGGCAGCAUG